CCACUGUGAAGAUUAACUUAAAGCUCUUUUUCCUAGCACCCGUCACUUUAUAUUGCUCCUAUAAAUGGUUAGGUCUUAGAACUAUCUGUGCAAAAGUUGGUCCAAGUAAAAAUUUCUAGUUAAUCUAGCACUUUCAUCUCAUAAGAUGAAAUCCAUGGAAAGGCAUAUUUUUUUUCAAGAAAUAGUUAAGCUUGGUGAAUUUUGAACAGAUUACCAUUCCUGUAUGGAAUGAGACUUUAGCAGCAUGGCUCGAUAGCUAACAGUUUUGAAACUGUUUGGAAAAAGAAAUGUAUUGAUAAACUCAAAGAAAGGGAUAAAGUUAAGGUGUUGGAUCUGUUUGAUGGUGUUGUUGUGGGCAUUGAGCGGAUUCACUCCCUACCUAUUGUACAUGGAGUCAAAUUGAAAGGAACAAGAGAUGCAAACAUAAAUAUUUUAAAGGUCACAAGUAACAUACCCCUUGCUUAUGAAAAUGAAAUAGAUGAAGUUGUCCAUCUGAAAGAGAAACAGGGAACUUUCACAUGGUGGCCAUUAAAAUAUUUGCAAAAAAUGACAUAGUUGAUCAUGUUUAUCAUGUACUAGUUGUUAGACAUCUUGACUCACUUUUUUAUGCAAUAUUUUGAAUGUGGGGCUUAAUGGUCAUGGUGUAUUUGAAAGAGUUGGAAACUUUUAGACAACUUUGACAUCUUAUUUUUUUUUAUUGCAAGUUACCUUUAUUUAUCAA